UACGUAGGGGGCAAGCGUUGUCCGGAUUUAUUGGGCGUAAAGAGCGUGUAGGCGGCCAGACAGGUCCGUUGUGAAAACUCGAGGCUCAACCUCGAGACGCCGAUGGAAACCGUCUGGCUAGAGUCCGGAAGAGGAGAGUGGAAUUCCCGGUGUAGCGGUGAAAUGCGCAGAUAUCGGGAAGAACACCCGUGGCGAAGGCGGCUCUCUAGUACGGUACUGACGCUGAGACGCGAAAGCGUGGGGAGCGAACAGG
rnacentral:rRNA from 1 species